AGAUUGAACGCUAGCGGGAUGCUUUACACAUGCAAGUCGAACGGCAGCGCGGACUUCGGUCUGGCGGCGAGUGGCGAACGGGUGAGUAAUAUAUCGGAACGUGCCCAGUAGCGGGGGAUAACUACGCGAAAGCGUGGCUAAUACCGCAUACGCCCUACGGGGGAAAGGGGGGAUUCUUCGGAACCUCUCACUAUUGGAGCGGCCGAUAUCAGAUUAGCUAGUUGGUGAGGUAAAGGCUCACCAAGGCGACGAUCUGUAGCUGGUUUGAGAGGACGACCAGCCACACUGGGACUGAGACACGGCCCAGACUCCGUACGGGAGCAGCAGUGGGGAAUUUGGACAAUGGGGG
rnacentral:rRNA from 1 species